AUUGAACGCUGGCGGCCGGCCUAACACAUGCAAGUCGAACGAGUGGCGGACGGGUGAGUAAUGUCUGGGAAACUGCCUGAUGGAGGGGGAUAACUACUGGAAACGGUAGCUAAUACCGCAUACCAUCAGAUGUGCCCAGAUGGGAUUAGCGAGUUGGUGGGGUAAGGGCUCACCGAGGCGACGAUCCCUAGCUGGUCUGAGAGGAUGACCAGCCAAAAUGGAACUGAGACACGGGACAGACUCCUACGGGAGGAAGCAGUGGCGAAUAUUGCACAAUGGGCGCAAGCCUGAUGCAGCCAUGCAGCGUGUAUGAAGAAGGCCGUCGGGUUGUAAAGUACUUUCAGCGGGGAGGCGUUACCCGCAGAAGAAGCACCGGCUAACUCCGUGCCAGCAGCCGCGGUAAUUC
rnacentral:rRNA from 1 species